AAGGGCUUAUCCCAUAGCACCUUGAAAUCCAUAGAAACAGAUCAUCGUUUCUGGGAUAAACAUUGCACUAAAGCGAUGAGACAACCCAUAGAGAUGAGGUGCCUGUGACACACAUCAUUGCACCCUAUCGCAAAACAAAAGGCUGUGACAACGCUAUCAACAUUUUAUCUACUGUCUCACCGGCUUCCAAAGUCGCCCCAUUCAGAUUCUUCUGAAUUGUUUGCAAUGCAGUCAAAGUAAACGACGCGUGCGAUGUCAAUUUUUUUUCAAUGGAAAUUUAAAUCUAGUGGAAAAAGAAAUUCUUCUCAGAACCUACCAGAUCUUAUUGACACCGUGGAAAUUAUGUAUACGAGCAUAUCGACGUUAGGCAAGGAAUGUUUAGUUAAGCCGAAAGCCAUUACCAUCUUUUGCUGAACAACCUGUAAAAGAAACGUCUGAUCGUUAAUACUGCAAAAUAUAUGAAUCUCAAUUAAACGGAACUCCAAAACUGAAGAAAAUGUUGUUGCCAAAGUUUAAAGACGUUAAUCCAUCGCAUUUGAAGAGCUUAGAACAUUCUAAUGUUGCCCCCCACAACCCCAUGUAACAAAAAAAAACAGUAAAAAU